ensembl:ncRNA lncRNA:CR44363 long non-coding RNA:CR44363
AGCAGCAGCAGCCACAACCGAAGCAGCAGCAACAUUGUAGAUAAUGCGCGAACCGGCUAAAGAACCAAUGCCCGUAACUAGAUCCAUAAGCUGAAAAUCAAUCAGGCGGAAAGUCAGACGGUCCGAGGAAACAACAACAAAGACGAAACAAAACACAGAGCGGUACGAUGGGGCAUAAAAAGAAGCCUAUUAGAAGACAAGCGGCAGCCCAAGGCGAAAACAACAACUGGCGGCAGUCAACAAUCGAGAAUAACAGCAACGAAACUUAAAAUUGGAUGAACUAGAAAGAAAAAAACAGUAGCCACGAAAUCGAUUGAAGAGCUAAAGACUUGGCCAUUGGAGCGCUCCAGCUUGAGCUCGAGUCUGGGCUCCAUUUCGAUGACGGGUGACGAAGAUGUUGUUGAUGAUGAUGAUGGGCGAUGACGGUGCACAGUGGUUACAUGUUACACUAAAAGCACUCCGAAAAAUAGUAAUCGUUCGACAUAGAAUGCAUGCAUUUACAAAAAUAUAUAUCAUAUUGGUAUUUAUUUUUAAGAGAUCUCAAAGAUCUUUAGGCUAAG